GCUAGACGAGUUUGAUCAUGGCUCAGAGCGAACGCUAGCGGCGAGCUUAACACAUGCAAGUCGAGCGGAGGGUUUCGGCCCUCAGCGGCGGACGGGUGAGUAACACGUAGGUUACGUGCCCUUUGGUGGGGAAUAACUUAGGGAAACCUGAGCUAAUACCGCAUAUGCCCUUCGGGGUGAAAGUCUUCGGACGCCAGAGGAUCGGCCUGCGGCCCAUUAUUUAAUCCUUGUUGGUGGGGUAACGGCCUACCAAGGGUACGAUGGGUAGCUGGUCUGAGAGGAUGAUCAGCCACACUGGGACUGAGACACGGCCCAGACUCCUACGGGAGGCAGCAGUGGGGAAUAUUGGACAAUGGGGGAAACCCUGAUCCAGCUACGCCGCGUGGGUGAUGAAGGCCUUCGGGUUGUAAAGCCUUGUCGAGGGGGACGAAGUUCUGACGGUACCCCUCAAGAAAGCACCGGCUAACUCCGUG
rnacentral:rRNA from 1 species